rnacentral:rRNA from 1 species
AACGAACGCUGGCGGCAUGCCUAACACAUGCAAGUCGGACGCGACCUUUCGGGGUCGAGUGGCGCACGGGUGAGUAGCGCGUGGGAACCUGCCCUUCAGUGGGGGAUAACCGAGGGAAACUUCGGCUAAUACCGCAUGCGCCCGGGAGACCGGGGAAAGAUUUAUCGCUGAAGGAGGGGCCCGCGUCGGAUUAGGUAGUUGGUGGGGUAACGGCCCACCAAGCCGAUGAUCCGUAGCUGGUCUGAGAGGAUGAUCAGCCACACUGGGACUGAGACAC